UAAGAAGGGGGCUAGCGAUGUUCGGAAUAACUGGGCGUAAAGCGCACGUAGGCGGAUUUGUAAGUCAGGGGUGAAAUCCCGGGGCUCAACCUCGGAACUGCCUUUGAUACUGCAAGUCUAGAGUCCGGAAGAGGUGAGUGGAAUUCCUAGUGUAGAGGUGAAAUUCGUAGAUAUUAGGAAGAACACCAGUGGCGACGGCGGCUCACUGGUCCGGAACUGACGCUGAGGUGCGAAAGCGUGGGGAGCAAACAGG
rnacentral:rRNA from 1 species